ensembl:lncRNA
GUGGUGUUCAGGGCAUAAACUUGACAGCAUCAAAAUGUCCUGUUUGAAAUAUAUCCUUACCUAGCACAGCUAUGAGUCAUCCUCCACCAACACUGAUAAAUCUGUGCAAUGAACAUUCUGUAAAAGUUGCAAUGUCCUUGCUUUUUCCAAGAAAUGGCACAAUAGCAGGAAUCGCUAGUGAUUUAAUGAUUUUCCGGAUAUAAAAUCAUGGCAUAGUCUCUUACUGUGCAACCAACAAAGCCAGUAACCACCGGCCGUCCACCCCCACACUGAGCUUGUAAACAAAAUAACAGCUCACGCCUUACAAGCUGCAAAAUACAGUCAACAUGCUGAUCAAGCUUGCUGGAAACGCAAGACGUCAGACAGAUUCCGAGGUGUAUGCAAUUACUGCCCUCCACUGGUCAAAUAACUAAUUGCAAUUAAAACAAUAGAUUUCUGAUAUCUACAAUGGCAGCCCCUUGACCA